GAUGAACGCUAGCGAUAGGCUUAACACAUGCAAGUCGAGGGGCAGCAUGGUCUUAGCUUGCUAAGACUGAUGGCGACCGGCGCACGGGUGCGUAACGCGUAUGCAACUUGCCUCACAGAGGGGGAUAACCCGUCGAAAGACGGACUAAUACCGCGUACACUCCACUUUGGGCAUCCAAAGUAGAGGAAAUGAAAUUCGCUGUGAGAUAGGCAUGCGUCCCAUUAGCUAGUUGGUGAGGUAACGGCCCACCAAGGCGACGAUGGGUAGGGGAACUGAGAGGUUGAACCCCCACACUGGUACUGAGACACGGACCAGACUCCUACGGGAGGCAGCAGUGAGGAAUAUUGGUCAAUGGGCGAGAGCCUGAACCAGCCAAGUCGCGUGAAGGAUGACUGUCUUAUGGAUUGUAAACUUCUUUUAUACGGGAAUAACAAGAGCCACGUGUGGCUCC
rnacentral:rRNA from 1 species